rnacentral:rRNA from 1 species
UACUCCUACGGGAGGCAGCAGUAGGGAAUUUUCCACAAUGGACGAAAGUCUGAUGGAGCAACGCCGCGUGAACGAUGAAGGUCUUCGGAUUGUAAAGUUCUGUUGUCAGGGACGAACACGUACCGUUCGAAUAGGGCGGUACCUUGACGGUACCUGACGAGAAAGCCACGGCUAACUACGUGCCAGCAGCCGCGGUAAUAC